UUCCUGACAGUCCAGUGGUUAGGACUCCACACUUCCACUGCUGGAGGCGCAGGUUCAAUGCCUGGUCAGGGAA
rnacentral:tRNA from 1 species